AAACUAAGCUAUAUUAUGCCACUUGAUUUACUCUUUAAAAACAUAUCAAAAUGUACUAUAUAUGACAUACAAAAACUAGCUCCAAAUGGUCAUAUAAUUUACAUAUAACUUGUGCACUAAAAACACCAAAUAAGUCAUUCAAACAAGUACCAAUUCACAACCAUUCAAGGCUUACACAAAAUGCAUAUUCAAACCAAAUGGUCAUAUCCGCAACCAAAACCAACAUUAGCCAAAAUAACCUAUACAUGCCAUUAUAACCAAAAUUAAACAAAUCGAAUGUACCAAAAGAGCCGAUGGAUAGUGUGAUAUAGCUUCGACAAGCUUCCAACCCGAACAAGCUUCUAAAUCAUUAUAAAACACAAAAAUUACACAAAGUAAGCAUUUAAGCUUAGUAAGUUCGCAUAACAUAGAAUUUAACUCACCAUUUAUUCACAUAUAAGGUAAGUAAACAACGUAUAUCCCAACAUAUAUUGGCCAAAUGCCUAAGCAUAUAUACAUCAAUCAUGUUAGUCAUGUAAACACAUAUAUAAACUAAGUCAUGGAUGAGCUCAACAAUUAAUCAAAUUCCAUAUACUUGUAUCAUCCAAUUCAAAUACCUAUAUACCAUGUAAUAUCAUUUUCCAUGUAAUUCAUAUGUAUAUCUGUAAUAGUUUGUAUCGAACUCAUGUCUUAUCCUAUCAGAACAUUACCCGUUGAACCAUUUAGAAUAUUAUUGGAUACUCGGGAUAGCUCACACAUAGUGUGCUAAACUGUAAUCCAUCAAUUCCUGUACAUGUAUGCUCAUACGAGCUAUGAAUCUAUAUGCUCUCACAAGCUGCAAAUCGAUAAGCUCAUACGAGCUGUGGUGUGUCCGCAACACAUGCAGAACCUCAACCAAAUCGGUAACCCUAAUGACAUGUCAUUUAUAUCCUACGAAUUCCUAAGGUUCAAAUCGGAAUCAGUAAUCGACAUACAUCGUUGGAUAUGCGAUCGAUAUUUAUACAUGGAAAUUAUACAAAUCACACACAUAUAAGUCAAUUAAAAAUAUAAAUACGCAAUUUAAUUACACAAAUUUACCUCGACGAGUAUACGUAGAUACGGAGGCGAUUAAUCCGAGAUUUUC
rnacentral:lncRNA from 1 species